ACGUUGCGAACUUUAGGUUAAUCUAUAAGACGGAUCUAUGAUUAGCUCUUUCAAGCAGAAAAAAUAUUACAACCUAAAAUCUCCGAUCUACACAAAGACCGAAUUAAGUGGUGUAAUCUCCGAAACAAUAAGUUUUUGCUCUGUAUCGACGCAGCUGAUCCCCCGAGAUUUAAUUGCGGGAUCUCAUGAUGAAAAGACAAUUGUCCCAUGGUAUUUGGAGGCACAUGCUAAUGAAGGCUGAAAACAAACCUCUAUCUUCUCAACCUUCACUACACUGGCACAGCAGGAUUAAGGACUAUGGGACACGCCUCACAUCAACACACAGUGAACAUAAUAUAGGUCAUAUGAAUAUCCAACAAACAUAUUUAGAAAUCUGCAGCCCAUCCUGGCCACAGUUUCUCAAACUGAAAUACAUAUGGUUGCGGGAUCACUGCCGCUGCAACACUUGCUACAACCACACCACAAAUCAAAGGAACUGUGAUCUACUGGACAUCCCGCUAAACAUUCAACCUCAAAAGAGUGCAAUAGAAGGAGACAAACUUACUAUAGCAUGUAAGUCAUGAAUUUCCACAGUGUGUUCCAUGAAGUCCCAUGGUUCUGCAUGACAGAAAAUAAAAGCUAAGAUUUAAAUUUCUUAGCUAUAAGUGAUCUGUGAUACACAAAGAAUGUGAUCCUAAACAUUCCAGUCAUCUGUGCAUUGUUUUACCCAUUCAUUCAUCGAGUUCCUCCUUCUAAAGAGAGAUUCAAUGCAUUGAAAAAGGCUGGUGAAAAAUAUAAACUGUCUAAAUGUAACAUUUAGUUUCAAGAAAUGUAAGUUAUUGUAUGACAAGACAGAUUGUAAUUGCAGCCCUUUAAUGCUACCCACAAAAGGGAGAUGUCUAUUCCAAAACAAAGUGUUAGUCGGUAUUCACAGUGAACAAACAUAAUUUUGUAACAAAUCCCACGUCCAUCUCAUGUUAUGUUUUGAAUAAAUUUUAUGAGAGUUUUGCAGUAAGAGAAUAAAAAAGAAAUGGACAAUUAGUGACAAAGUAACAACUGCAUAAGUAAUAAUUGAAGAAGAUGCAGAAAAUGAAUGUGCAGAACAAGGUGGCCUAAAAGUCAGGUAACUGGUUAGUAAAAUGUACACUAAAAACUACAUUAGAAAUUUCUUUAUUACUUGUUGAAUUUAGAAAAAUGAGAUCCUCCAGCUUCAACACAAAACUCAUAAUGCUGUGAUACUGUUCUACAGUUUGAUUAGCAGCUUUAAA